rnacentral:misc_RNA from 1 species
UUUUUUUUUUUUUAAUAAUUUUUAUUUUAUUUUCCUAUAAUACAUACUUACAAACACCAAAAUUGUCUCGCCAAGGAAACACAAAUGAAGACAGACAGUUCUAUCGAGUUACAGCGGCUGCCAUGGCGGGAAUAGGAAUGGGUGAUGGUACAAUGGCAGCCAUAUGAUCUUCAUCGUAAACGAAUCGCUCCACGAUCAUGGAACUAGGACCCGCCACAAGCUUCUCCCAUGCUUCUUCAGCUUCUUCUCCGCUUUUUAAAAAUACUUCUGUAGCGUCGAUGCGAUGCAUAUUCCAACUCCAUCGACUAUAAAGCCGAUGGAUUUUUUGCAAUUGACGGCACGCUAGAAUACAUGUGUUCUCUGUAAUUUUUGCAAUAGCUACGUCCAGGAGCUUGGCUCGAGUUUUGGCAUCCACUAUUGAUUCACUUCGGAAAUAAUGAUCCAAUUCAGGGACUCCAAUUGCUCGUCUUAUUCCUUGUGAAUAGUUAGUUUUGUUUGGAUCAAAUAUGUUUCUCACCUCGUUAACCAAUCCAGCUUUCACCAUUCGAUGGACUCGUUCAGCUACAAAUGAAUGCAGCACAGGCAACGAUACAUCCACCCAAAAGAAGCAGCAUUCGUACCUCAAUCGAAAAUCAGGAUCCUCAUUCGCUAAAGCCUCAAUGAAAGAAUUAGAACCGCCAGCAAUGAUUGGUAAGCGAUCACGAGCGACAAUGGAUUGGACGGCAUCGGAGGCAUGAUAGCGAAAGUCAUCGCAAGUGAAAUUGGCAUUAGGGUCUACUACUACACCUAUCAAAUGAUGAGGCACACCGCGACACUCCUCUUGAGUCACCUUAUUAGUGACUAUAUCGAGGCCUUUAUAGACUUGCAUUUUGUCGCAAUUAACGACCUCCGCUGGGAUACGAGUUGCGAGGUCAAUAGCCAAUCUUGAUUUACCAGUGCCGGUUGGGCCUACAACGAACACAACCUUAUCUUUUCGGCGAAAGAAAGGCUCCAUAUUUAUGGCUCUUUGUAAAUUCACAAGGGGCUGUAUUUGCUUUUGGACCGAAGCCGAAAACCUCAUAUUCAUUAUUCACUUAAUUACCUUUAAUAUGCAGCGAAUCGUCGCAGAGGAGAAUGAAAUGAAAUGGGUUGUACUUGUACAAGCUUCUCUUUUUGCGUGAGCAGCAGAGGGAGAAGAAAAGAAAAGUGUGAGAGAAAGAGAUGAGAGAAGUUGGGAAGAAAUGGGGGAUAUGUGUAUGCAAAAGCAAAGCUAUU